rnacentral:rRNA from 1 species
UACGGAGGGAGCAAGCGUUACUCGGAAUUAUUGGGCGUAAAGGGCGCGUAGGCGAUUUGAAAAGUCUUGUGUGAAAGCCCCCGAGCUUAACUCGGGAAGUGCACAAGAAACUGUUGAAUUUGAGUUCCGGAGAGGAAGGCAGAAUUCCCGGUGUAGCGGUGAAAUGCGUAGAUAUCGGGAGGAAUACCAGUGGCGAAGGCGGCCUUCUGGACGGAUACUGACGCUGAGGUGCGAAAGCGUGGGGAGCAAACAGG